rnacentral:rRNA from 1 species
GAUGAACGCUAGCUACAGGCUUAACACAUGCAAGUCGCGGGGCAGCAUGGGGGUUGCUUGCAAUCCCCGAUGGCGACCGGCGCACGGGUGAGUAACGCGUAUCCAACCUGCCCUUCACCACGGGAUAACCCGGCGAAAGUCGGACUAAUACCGUAUGUUGUCCAUUGACGGCAUCCGAUUUGGACGAAAGGUUUGGCGGUGAAGGAGGGGGAUGCGUCCGAUUAGCUGGACGGCGGGGUGACGGCCCACCGUGGCGACGAUCGGUAGGGGUUCUGAGAGGAAGGUCCCCCACACUGGAACUGAGGCCCGGUCCAGACUCCUACGGGAGGCAGCAGUGAGGAAUAUUGGUCACUGGGCGUUAGCCUGAACCAGCCAAGUAGCGUGCAGGAUGACGGCCCUAUGGGUUGUAAACUGCUUUUAUGCGGGGAUAAAGUGGCCCACGUGUGGGUUUUUGCAGGUACCGCAUGAAUAAGGACCGGCUAAUUCCGUG